GGCCUUGUGGCCCAAUGGCAAGGCGUCUGACUACGAGAUCGAUUGAAUUCAAUUGUUCAGUUAUCAGGAGAUUCUGGGUUCGACCCCCAGCGAGGUCA